CGUGGCGGACGGGUGAGUAACGCGUGGGCAACCUGCCUCGCACUGGGGGAUAACACUUAGAAAUAGGUGCUAACACCGCAUAGCGGGCGGGGACGCAUGCCCCUGCCCUGAAAACCCAGGUGGUGCGAGAUGGGCCCGCGUCUGAUUAGCUGGUUGGCAGGGUAACGGCCUACCAAGGCGACGAUCAGUAGCCGGCCUGAGAGGGUGGACGGCCACAUUGGGACUGAGACACGGCCCAGACUCCUACGGAAGGCAGCAG
rnacentral:rRNA from 1 species